UACGAGGGGGGCUAGCGUUGUUCAGAUUUACUGGGCGUAAAGCGCACGUAGGCGGAUCUUUAAGUCAGGGGUGAAAUCCCGAGGCUCAACCUCGGAACUGCCUUUGAUACUGGGGAUCUCGAGUCCGGGAGAGGUGAGUGGAACUGCGAGUGUAGAGGUGAAAUUCGUAGAUAUUCGCAAGAACACCAGUGGCGAAGGCGGCUCACUGGCCCGGUACUGACGCUGAGGUGCGAAAGCGUGGGGAGC
rnacentral:rRNA from 1 species